UACGAAGGGGGCUAGCGUUGCUCGGAAUCACUGGGCGUAAAGCGCACGUAGGCGGAUUGUUAAGUCAGGGGUGAAAUCCUGGAGCUCAACUCCAGAACUGCCUUUGAUACUGGCGAUCUUGAGUCCGGGAGAGGUGAGUGGAACUGCGAGUGUAGAGGUGAAAUUCGUAGAUAUUCGGAGGAACACCAGUGGCGAAGGCGGCUCACUGGCUCGGUACUGACGCUGAGGUGCGAAAGCGUGGGGAGCAAACGGA
rnacentral:rRNA from 1 species